GACGAACGCUGGCGGCGUGCUUAACACAUGCAAGUCGAACGAAGUGGCGAACGGGUGAGUAACGCGUAAUCAACCUGCCCUUCGGAGGGGGACAACAGUUGGGAACGACUACUAAUACCGCAUACUGAAGGAGGGGAUUGCGUCUGAUUAGCUAGUUGGGGGGGUAACGGCCCACAAAGGCGAUGAUCAGUAGCCGGUCUGAGAGGAUGAACGGCCAAAGUGGGACUGGGUAACGGCCCAGACUCCUACGGGAGGCAGCAGUGGGGAAUCUUCCGCAAUGGAGGAAAGUCUGACGGAGCAACGCCGCGGGAGUGAUGACGGCCUUCGGGUUGUAAAGCUCUGUUAGUCGGGACGCGGUACCGGAAUAGAAAGCCACGGCUAACUACGUGCCAGCCGCCGCGGUAAUAC
rnacentral:rRNA from 1 species